GGGGUUGUGACUCAGUGGUAGAGUGCUCACCUAGCACAUGAGAGGUCCUGGGUUAUAUCCUCAGCACCA
rnacentral:tRNA from 1 species